rnacentral:lncRNA from 1 species
UUUCUGAUAAUACAGCAUUGUGAAGUCGGGGGAAGGCUGGCAGAGGGGCACAGUCUAGUCUGUGACCUGAGCCAUCAUGGUAGGGCGUCCAGGGUGAGGGGAGGGUGGUGUGAAUCCCCAGUAAUGCAGGUCCUUUCCAGGCCAGGCCCCUAGUCCCCAGGAGUGUGGGGAUGCCUGAGGUCUACUACUGCCUUAUCCAGAGCUGCCACCCCCGGCGAUGACUCAGAGUUCCUGUGGCCCCAGCAUCAUCCCUCCAUCCCUGGCUGCGAGGCCAGAGCAGAGUUGCAGACCUGAGAGGCCUUGAAUUUGUUUGAUAUAGGACUUUGCCACCAGACAAAGUGCUUUGCCUGUGAGGUCUGGCUUGGCCUGGCCUCUGAGAAAGAACAAACACAGACCUCACUGGAAGGAACCUGGAGAACGGGAGAGGAGAGGCUGCUGCUGUCUGCCCUCCCAGCAGCAGAUAUAAAGACAAUGGGCUUCUAAGUCCCCUAGAGUCCCAGCUGUGUAAUUUAAGGCAAAUAUAAUUUCUGACCUAUGUAAUGAUGUAUGCACAAGAAGCCUCUCUUGAAUGUAUUAAUUCAGCAAACAGUUAUGGAGUCCUUACCAUGUGCUAGUGGGACUUUGAAGAUGAAUCCAAAUUUGGAUCCUGGCCUGGAAAGGCUCAAAGCCCAAUAUGGGAGCCUGGAUACAAAUGUGAAACUUAUCUUCUUUUAUUAACCAAUCAACCACCUCCUGCCAAAACAACAUCAGCAACAACAACAGAAAAAAACAAAAACAAAAACAAAAAGAACUCUGUGUACACAAGACCUUUGUUUCCACAGCAGACUUGGCUAAAGGUUUGGGCAUGCAUAUGCAUACCCCCAAAAUUAAAAAUGGAAAAUU